CAAAUAAUGAGCUUAUUUAGCAGGCUUUUUGGUCAACCUGUUUCUUUCAUUAUUUCAUCCUCUGCAUUAUUUGGGAAACAGUGAAUAAUUGAGAAAUGAUGUCAACAAUGCAUUCACCACGUGGGGCUGGUGAGGCAUGAUAAGGAAGGAGGGUGAACAAUGUCCAAGCCAUCAGGACCCUGGUCAGACAUCUCCUAAGGGGCCCCAGCAAGGCUGUGAAAUCAUCUCCCUAGCCCCAGAAAAAGAUUCUGGCACCAACAGCACUUGAGCUGAAGAAUCAAAAGGUGUCGAUUCCAAUACAAUAAAAGGAGCCAACUUGGAAAUCUUGACAGUAAACUUCUGUGGCUUUUUCCUGCAACAUUCUUUAAAAUUUCUUGGGGAAAAUGUUACAAGGAACACACUUUGAGAAAUCCUGCCAUCCUGUCCAGACAUGCUGGACUAAGGGUUGCCUCUAAAGUAAAAUGCCUUAUCCAUGGUGAGAGAUGCUCCCAGAGAGAUAUUUUAGGAUGAGGAGAAAACCAGAGGAGCAGCAAGAAGGAACACAUGAAGACAGACGGGGAUGGACGAGGAGCACAAAGACUAUGUUCCAAUCCUGGUUCAGUUAAUAGUAAAAUGCUUUUCUAGUUGGUCUCUGUUUCACUCUUGCUUCUCCAUUGUUCACAUACAUUUACUCUUAUAAAAUGGAAAUUUGAUCCUGCAGUUUCCCUGCUUAAAACCCUCAAAUGAUUUCCCCUUAUAUUGGUGUCAAACCCCAACUCUUUGUGGCUUCCUGCAUUCUGGACUCAAUGUUUUCAUCUACUUUUUGAAUACAGCAGCCUUAUUUCACCAUAGAUCUUUGCACUUGCUUCAUGAAAUGCAUUUUCCCUAGAACUCUGCAUGAUCACCUGUUUCUCCACAUUCAGGUCCUCAUGUUAUUAUUACUUCUUUCAAAAUGGUUUCUCUGACC